rnacentral:lncRNA from 1 species
GUAUUAUAUAAUAUAUGCUAUAUAUAUUAUAUAAUAUGUAAGAUUAUUAUAGAACCAACGUUAUUAUUAUUAUUAUUAUUAAUCCCCAUUUUACAGAGGAGGUCACCGAGGCCCAGAGAAUAAUAAUAAUAACGUUGGUAUUUCUUAAGUGCUAUGUGCCAAGCACUAUUCUAAGCGCUGGGGGAGAUAGUUAGAACAGCGCUCGGCACAUAGUAAGCGCUUAACAAAUACCAACAUUAUUAUUAUUAUGAGCACGGUCCCUGUCUAGACUGCGAGCUCUUCGCGGGCAGAGAUCGUCUCUCUUUAUUGCUUGUAUUGUGCUUUCCCCAGUGCUUAGCAAGGUGCUGUGCACACAGUAAGCGCUCAAUAAAUACGACUAAAGGAAUGAACGUCCCCCAUGGGGCUCACAGUCUCAAUGAGCUCAGCGAGGCCCAGGGAAGGGAACUGAGUUGCCCAAGGUCACACGGCCAAGUGGCGAAGCAGGGUUUGGAACCCAGGGCCUUCUGAAUCCCGGAUUCUAACCACUAGUCCAUGCUGCUUCUCGGAGCCUUGGGCCCGGAGAUUUCGGGCCGGGGGCGGAGAGCGGGCGGAGGGCGACCCACCCCUGCGGGUCCAGAAGCUCUGAGAUGGGGGGCUUCCGUGCCGUUACAGGCGAUGAGGACCCCCGCAGAAUGGAGGAGCCUCAUCCUGCCGGUCCUGGCGGAGCUGUGGGCGGCGGCGGACUGCUUGACCACCCACUACCGGAGGACCGACAUCACCGUGCAGGAAGGAGCCCCGCUCACUCUCAGCUGCCCCGUGAACUAUGGCGGCGACCCACAGCAGAGGACGAGGGCCUUCUGGUGUAAGGGGAGCCACGGGGGCUGCUGCUCCGGAAAGGACACACUGGUGCAGUUGGAGAUGAAGGGGAAGUCCGACCCCGACGCUCGGGAGACACUGUGGUUCAACCUCACCGGCUCCAAGCCCUCCGACAGCGGCAUUUACCAGUGCUGUGUCGUUAACCAGAAGGCCAUCGUCUCCGGCCAUCAGAUCUCCGUGUCGGUGACAGAGGGAGGGAACGCGGUCGACCCCUCGCUGAACUCGACCAAGAACCGACUGGCCGGCGGAAGCCUCUCCAGCCGCGGCAAGGGGUCCCCGCCGUGGGUCUUCGUCCUUCGGUGGGCGGCCUGGGCGGUGGCGGUGGACGUACUGGUCGCCCUCUGCACAGGUGAGCCGGGGGGGGGGGGGGGGGGGGGGCGGGAACCUGGGGCCGGCUUCCUCCGGGAGGGAGGCGGGGAGGGGCCGAGGGGCCGGGACCUACCCCCUCGGGAGGUGUGCGUGUGUGUGUUUUCAUUCGUUCGGUCGUAUUUAUUGAGCGCUGCGUGCCGAGCGCUGUGCUAAGCGCUCGGAACGCACAAUCCGGCAACAGAGACAAGGGGCUCCCAGUCUAACAGACGUGUGCGGUGGGCCGGGGGGGAGAUCCCUCCUGAGCCCUAGGGCAGAAAGAGUAAAACUGACCCCUCAAAAUGGUCUCCCACCGCAGCGUGGCCUAGUGGCUGGAGCACGGGCCCGGGCGUCUGAAGGCCCUGGGUUCUAAUCCCGGGUCCGCCACUUGUCUGCGGUGCGACCUCGUCUGCUUUGCCACUCUGGGCCUCAGCUCGUCGGUAAAAUGGGGGUUAAGAGUGCGAGCCCCGCGCGGGCCGGGGACUGUGUCCAGCCCGAUUAACUCGCAUCUAGCCCAGCUCUAAGAGCAGCGCUUGGCACAUAAUGAGCCCUUAACACGGUCCCCCUCUCCUAGGUCGCUGAGGACGACGGCACCGCGGGGGAGUUGGCCGUGACGUUCCGGGUCCUGCCGAAUCGCCACCGGGCCGGAUGGGGCCGCGGGAGGCGGGGGUGGGGAUGCGGGAGGGAGAACAGUGUGAUGGACGCCCGAGCGGAUGGCGCCGGGGGAGCCUCUGCUCCCCUGCAGCUGCAGAACUUUCUCCAUGUCAGCCUCUCUGGGGAGUUUUCGGUCCAUCGGGCUGCCCGCGGUGGGGGGUCUUUCUCCCCUCUGGACUCUAAGCUCGUUUUUUCAAAUGGCAUUUGGUCAGCGCUAACUAUGCGUCGGGCGCUGUACUAAGCGCCGCGUAGUUCUAAGAUUAUCAGGUUGGACCCAGUCCCCGUUCCCGCAUGGGGCUCGCAGACUGAAUCACCAUUUUACGGAUGAGGCGACUGAGUCCCCGAGACGUGAGGUGACUUGCCCGAGGUCACGCAGGUGACACGGUAUUUGUUAAGCGCUUACUAGGUGCCGAGCACUGUUCUAAGCGCUGGGGGAGAGACAGGGUCAUCAGGCGGUCCCACGUGAGGUCACAGUCUUCAUCCCCAUUUGGCAGAUGAGGGAACUGAGGCCCAGAGAAGUGAAGGGACUUGCCCACGGUCACACAGCUGACAAGUGGCAGAGUCGGGAUUCGAACCCAUGACCUCUGUCUCCCAAGCCCGGGCUCUUUCCACUGAGCCACGCUGCUUCUUUAAAUCUGAUUCGGGGAUUCAGCAGGGCCUAGUGGAAAGAGAGCAGUCCUGGGAGUCAGGAGACCUGGGUUCUAGUCUCAAGCCCGCCUCGGGCAUGCUGGGUGCGAAUUUGGCCAGGUCACUCGACCUCCCUGUCUCCCCCUAUUUAUAAUGGAAAUGCAGUAGAAGAGAAGCAAAGAGAGGUAAAAAGAGAAAAAAGAGAGAAGUUAAAAGAGAAGCAGCGUGGCUGAGUGGAAAGAGCCCGGGCUUGGGCGUCAGAGGUGGUGGGUUCUAAUCCUGGCUCCGCCACUUGUCUGCUGUGUGACCUUGGGCAAGUCACUUCACUUCUCUGGGCCUCAGUGACCUCAUCUGGAAAAUGGGGAUUCAAAAAUGUGAGCCCCACGUGGGACAACCUGAUGACCCGGUAUCCGCCCCAGCGCUUAGAACGGUGCUCAGCACAUAGUAAGCACUUAACAGAUACCAUCAUUAUUAUUAUUAUUAAGUCCUUGCUCUCCCUCACUUUGAGACCGGCCGUGAGCCCCAUGAGGGACGGACAUUUUCCAAGAAGCAGCAGCAGCACGGCCUCGUGGACAGACGCGGGUUCUAAUCCUGCCUCGGCCACUUGUCUGCUGGGUGACCUUGGGCGCGUCAUUUCACUUCUCUGGGUCUCAGAGAAGUGUAAAAUGGGAUUAAGACUGUGAGCCCCACGGGGAACAUGGACUGCAUCCAACCUGAUUAAAUAUAUCUGGCUCAGCGCUUAGCGCGGUGCCUGACACGUAGCUUAGCAAACGCCAUUAAAAAAAAAAUCGAUUAUCCUUCAUCUACCCCAGCUUAGCUUAGCACGGUGCUUGUCAUGUGGAAAGCACUUAAUAAAUACCUUUGUUUUGUUGCUUUAUUACUAUUAUCUCUUUUCUUAUGCCAAUGGAGUGCCCGCCUCGGCCCAGCCUCCGUAAGCAGGCGGGAGUCAGGCUCAGGAAGGUGACUGUUUCCCCCUUGGUUUGGAGGGUCCAAGUCACUGGAGGCUGAUGGUGGCGAUUAGUGUGGAAGCUUCCCGUGGGCCUGGAUCGUGUCUUUUGUUUUUGUUGUACUUUCCCGAGCGCUCAGUACAGUGCCCGCGCCCGGGAGGUGCUCGCUACAACUCCCCGAGCUCCGUAAGUCCCCUGCCCGGCCUCUACUCGUGGUAAGGGCUCAGGGCCGGUCUCUGCCGAGAACUGGUGUUCAAUACAGUACCUUUCAUGCACAGUAAGCGCCCAGGGCAGGUCUCUGCAUAGAGCAGGUGUUCAGUACAGUAUCUUUCAGGCACAGUAAGCGCCCAGGGCGGGUCUCUGCAUAGAGCGGGUGUUCAGUACAGUACCUUUCACGCACAGUAAGCGCCCAGGGCCGGUCUCCGCAUAGAACGGGUGUUCAAUACAGUACCUUUCAGGCAGAGUAAGCGCCCAGGGCCGGUCUCUGCAUAGAGAGGGCGUUCAGUACAGUACCUUUCAUGCACAGUAAGCGCCCAGGGCCGGUCUCUGCAGAGAGCGGAUGUUCAGUACAGUUCCUUUCAUGUACAGUAAGCGCCCAGGGCGGGUCUCUGCAUAGAACAGGUGUUCAGUACAGUACCUAUCGCGCACAGUAAGCGCCCAGGGCCGGUCUCUGCAGAGAGCAGGUAUUCAGUACAGUAUCUUUCAUGCUCUAGACUCUCAGUAGAGCGCUACACACUCGGUGUCCAUAAUUUCCUCCAAAAAGUAAUAAAAUGAGUCAAACCUCGGCGGCUCGAUCGAAACCACUGAUAGGAUGCAGAAGAGAAUGGGAGCAGCGUGGCAUAGUUGAUUGGGCCUGGGAGUCAGGAGGUCGUGGGUUCUAAUCCCGCCCCCGUCCCUUGUCUGCUGUGUGACCCUGGGCCAGUCACUUCACUUCUCUGGGCCUCAGUGACCUCAUCUGCAAAAUGGGGAUGGAGAUUGCGGGACAGGGGCGGCGUCCAACCCCAUUUGCUUGUACCCACCCCAGCGCUCAGUAGAGUGUCCGGCACAUGGUAAGCGCGUGACAAGUACCACGAUCACUAUCAUUUUAUUACUCUUGUUGUUGUUGUUAAGCAUGAGAAGCAGCGUGGCUCAGCGGAAAGAGCCCGGGCUGGGGAGUCAGAGGUCACGGGUUCGAAUCCCGGCUCCGCCACUUGUCAGCUGGGUGACCUUGGGCAAGUCACUUCGUUUCUCUGGGCCUCAGUGACCUCAUCUGCAAAAUGGGGAUGAAGCCUGUGAGCCUCACGGGGGACCACCUGAUUGCCCUGCAAAAUGGGGAUGAAGCCUGUGAG